rnacentral:RNase_P_RNA from 1 species
GUCUUGUGUUAGAUGAUUGCGCUUCGCCUUCGGGCGUAGUGAGGAAAGUCCGAACACUUACUUCGGCUUAGGCUGAGGUUAAAAUGGUAGCGGGUAACGCCCGCCUGUCCCGCUUAGCGGGACACGAGGUGAGAACAGACACGACCCGGUUAAGUCCGGCUGAAACGGCAAAAUCCUUACCCAAGUGCAAGGCCGUAUCGGUGCGUAGCACCGGACAUAUCGAUAUAUCGACAUUUCGAUAUUUCCGUUGCUGCGCAACGGGGUGCCGCUUGAGCUUAAUGGCAACAUUAAGCCUAGAUAAAUAGUCAUCGUCUUGGCGUAAGUCAAGAUACAGAAUUCGGCUUAUAGACAUAAGACAAAA